UACGUAGGGGGCAAGCGUUGUCCGGAUUUAUUGGGCGUAAAGAGCGUGUAGGCGGCUAGGUAGGUCCGUUGUGAAAACUCGAGGCUCAACCUCGAGCUGUCGAUGGAAACCAUCUGGCUAGAGUCCGGAAGAGGAGAGUGGAAUUCCUGGUGUAGCGGUGAAAUGCGCAGAUAUCAGGAAGAACACCCGUGGCGAGGGCGGCUCUCUGGUACGUGACUGACGCUGAGACGCGAAAGCGUGGGGAGCGAACAGG
rnacentral:rRNA from 1 species